UAGGGAAUCUUCGGCAAUGGGGGGAACCCUGACCGAGCAACGCCGCGUGAGUGAAGAAGGUUUUCGGAUCGUAAAGCUCUGUUGUAAGAGAAGAACGUGUGUGAGAGUGGAAAAUUCACACAGUGACGGUAACUUACCAGAAAGGGACGGCUAACUACGUGCCAGCAGCCGCGGUAAUACGUAGGUCCCGAGCGUUGUCCGGAUUUAUUGGGCGUAAAGCGAGCGCAGGUGGUUGUAUAAGUCUGAAGUAAAAGGCAGUGGCUCAACCAUUGUGUGCUUUGGAAACUGUACAACUUGAGUGCAGAAGGGGAGAGUGGAAUUCCAUGUGUAGCGGUGAAAUGCGUAGAUAUAUGGAAGAACACCGGUGGCGAAAGCGGCUCUCUGGUCUGUAACGGACACUGAGGCUCGAAAGCGUGGGGAGCAAGCA
rnacentral:rRNA from 1 species